UCAAACAAAUUCGAAAAUUCAGUUCACGUCUAAAGUAUCGAAAAAUAUGCAUGCAUAUCGCAUUUAAACACGAGUGAAAAUUUCAACGAUUUGAUAAACUCUAGAAUUAGGAAAAUUUCAUUCUAUCUUCUAUCCUAACCAAACUCCGAUAGAUUCAGUUCACUUUGAUCGUAUACAACUUUUCUGCUUCUACGACUUUAAUCACCUUUAAACAUUACCGUAAAAUUUCGUUUCUUUCAGUCAUAUUCCAUUACUAUGAUAAUACAAUAAUUAACUUUGUUUGAUUAAAAUAUUGAAUACAUUAUGGAAAUGUAAAGAAUGAAUAACGAAUCAUACUAUAUUACCAUUCAGUCGAACGAUUGAAGUCAAUAUAAGGUACGCUCCUGAAGUUGAUAUCGAAUUAUAAGGGAAUAAUUUUUAAAUUUGUCUGGAAAUUUAACUGAAUAAAAAAUAUAUAAAUAAAACGUGUUCUUCUUAUUUAUAUCACAUGAUCACGUCAAUUCAUUUUAGAAAAACGGGUGCGACAUACAGAUGAAGAUCUAUGCGCACGAUAUAUUUCAAUAUAAAUAUCGAUGCCUCAAAUUUCUGGUAAUAGAAUAAUGAAAGAGGAGAAGAGCAAAAACAAUCAUAAUCAGCACAUCCGGGAUUCUAAUGCUGCGUUGCUGUACGAGGAUUGUUUAAGGAAAGUAUUCAACCAUUCUGAAUAUGUAUAUCUCGAGAGCAGAUUGUGUGAGUUUGAUGUAACUAAACAACCAUCUGAAACGAACGUCACUAUGUGUAUGUGAACAGCCUUAGCGAGGCCACUCAAUAUUCAAUUGGUAAUGAAACAUCGCUGAAUGAGUUUAUGUUUUGUGUGUCUGUUGCUACAUUUACAAUGACUAAGCGAAUUUGACACUUUGUCAUUUAUAAUCAAUAGUCGAAAAUUGUAAAACUUACUCGCUUAAAUGCGAGGAUCACAAAAAUAUGAACUCACUGAAUAUCGUAACGUACAUUGCCAAUUGGAUAACUACAGAAUAAUUUACAUAUACACUGGAAGAUUUGUUUCAAAUAGUCGUUAAGUUAUAUCAAUUUCAUUCGGUUUCGAAAUAUUUAAAACGGUUGGAUAUUUUUG